GUCUGGUCGGCUCGAUGUGAUCGGGACUGAAUGACAUGAGUGGCGGCGAAUUGAUAAUCAGAUAGUAAGCCUUGAAAAGAUCCUCAGAUUGAGAGUCCGUGAUACCAAGAGAGCUCUGACCCAAGAUGCAUCAUCAGAAGAGGUCUGUGUUAUUAUGUCAGGUGUUAUUGCUUUUUUUGAUGGAUCAGACAUUCAG